UAUAUCUCAUCAUCCUCGUCACUCUGCAGCUGACUGCUGGUUUUGCUGAUUUUUAAACUUUGUCUCUGUGUUUCUUCUCCUGUGGGUCAAAGUUCAGACUUCAGCCUGUCGAUCAUCAGCUGAUGAACACAGUGAAGCUGCUGCCACCUGCUGGAGGACCGACAGCACUGAUUGGCUGUCAGCCUGAGAACAAACAGGAAGUGACUGCAGUCUUUCCCUCCUAAAGAUCAGGAUGUGCAUCAUGUCCGUCUGAACGUCUCCUGCAGUGGACAGAUGCUGGAGACGUUUAACCUCUGAGCUGUUCACUCCAUUAUCAAGAGAUAUGAUGGGCUGUUCAUGAGACAGGGUGUUUUCACUGUGAGCUGUCAGCAACACUGUGAAAACAACAAGAACAUGGAAACAUGAAGGUGUUUGUUAGAGUCUGACAAGCUGGAGUCCAUCAUGAUCUUCAGUCUGAAACACACCAGAGCAACAGAAAUGAGCUGAAAUAAGAUCAAAAACAUUCUCACUGUCCAUGUUGAGACCAAUGUUAACAACAUUAUACAGUAACAAACUAAUAAAAGACAA